CCCCUCUCUGGAUCACACCUGGAGAGUUUACACUACUCAACCAGUCUCAACUAUGGGAGGGAGAGUCAAGUAGAGGCCUACCCAUUCCAUUCCUAGCUUGGGCAAUGGCUAGCAAGUGGAAGGCAAUCUGCUACAAGU